rnacentral:rRNA from 1 species
UACGUAGGUGGCAAGCGUUGUCCGGAUUUAUUGGGUUUAAAGGGUGCGUAGGCGGUUCUUUAAGUCAGUGGUGAAAUACUCCGGCUCAACCGGAGAGGUGCCAUUGAUACUGAAGAACUUGAGUACAGUCGAGGUAGGCGGAAUUGACGGUGUAGCGGUGAAAUGCUUAGAUAUCGUCAAGAACACCGAUAGCGAAGGCAGCUUACUAGGCUGUAACUGACGCUGAGGCACGAAGGUGCGGGGAUCAAACAGG